rnacentral:rRNA from 1 species
AAUAGGGCGACUUUAGUAUAUUGGCAUAUACCCGAAACCAGGUGAUCUAUCCAUGAGCAGGUUGAAGCUUAGGUAAAACUAAGUGGAGGACCGAACCGUAGUACGCUAAAAAGUGCCCGGAUGACUUGUGGAUAGCGGUGAAAUUCCAAUCGAACCUGGAGAUAGCUGGUUCUCUUCGAAAUAGCUUUAGGGCUAGCGUAUAGUAUUGUUUAAUGGGGGUAGAGCACUGAAUGUGGAAUGGCGGCAUCUAGCUGUACUGACUAUAAUCAAACUCCGAAUACCAUUAAAAUUAAGCUAUGCAGUCGGAACGUGGGUGAUAACGUCCACGCUCGCGAGGGAAACAACCCAGAUCGUCAGCUAAGGUCCCAAAAUUGUGUUAAGUGAGAAAGGUUGUGAGAUUUCAUAAACAACUAGGAAGUUGGCUUAGAAGCAGCCACCUUUUAAAGAGUGCGUAAUUGCUCACUAGUCAAGAGAUCUUGCGCCAAUAAUGUAA